rnacentral:rRNA from 1 species
UGGGGAAUUUUGGACGAAUUGGGCGAAAGCCUGAAUCCAGCAAUGCCGCGUGUGUGAAGAAGGCCUUCGGGUUGUAAAGCACUUUUGUCCGGAAAGAAAUCCUUGGCUCUAAUACAGUCGGGGGAGUGACGGUACCGGAAGAAUAAGCACCGGCUAACUACGUGCCAGCAGCCGCGGUAAUACGUAGGGUGCAAGCGUUAACCGGAAUUACUGGGCGUAAAGCGUGCGCAGGCGGUUUGCUAAGACCGAUGUGAAAUCCCCGGGCUCAACCUGGGAACUGCAUUGGUGACUGGCAGGCUAGAGUAUGGCAGAGGGGGGUAGAAUUCCACGUGUAGCAGUGAAAUGCGUAGAGAUGUGGAGGAAUACCGAUGGCGAAGGCAGCCCCCUGGGCCAAGUACUGACGCUCAUGCACGAAAGCGUGGGGAGCAAACNGGAUUA